ACUGAAGAAAGCAAAGCUUUACCUUAUGGAGCAGUGUUAUACCUGAAUAACACUAGGAAGAAAUCAAUAUGUUUAGUCUGAAGAACUCCAUAUACCAAUUCAAUAUAUUCAAAGAACACUCCGAUCAAGGAGAUCAAAUAUGAGAAAAGAUAUAAAAGACCAAGAAGCUCAUCAACUUACUCAAGUCACUGGCCAUCAGUGUGUCUUUUGUGACCUCCACACAAAGCCACAUCUGUACUAAGAGAUUAUUUAAAUCAUGAAUCCAUGUUAAACGUAGAAACAGUGGGAACGUGAGAGUUUCAAAGCCUGUAUUAAACAAAAGAAGUCUGGAGAGCAAAGCUGAUAAGGAAGCUGAGAAGGCCAUCUACAAUAAGCCAAACAAAAAUAUUACCUACUUUUGCAUAAAAUUAGAACAGCACCAGGAAACUCUCAACUCUACCAAAAGAUGAUUGAACCCCGUGCACUGAACAAAAUUUCACACAACAAUGCCACCAUUGGAAAGUGGUGAGGCCCUGCCUCCCCUGACUGCACGUCCCUGCUCUGAAGUCUGCUACCGGUUCGGUUUGCUACCAGUUCGCUUCUGCUACCGCAAAGUGCUGAAAAAGGAGGUUUAAGAAGCCUUUUCUGAGUCUGCAAAGGAUGAAGUUUGGGCAACUGAAUAGAACUGAGAGUUUAC